rnacentral:tRNA from 1 species
AGUUUUUAUAGUGUAAUAAUCAACACGUUGCAUUUUCGUUGCAAAGCUGAAUCUCAUUUUUCUAAAAACUA